rnacentral:tRNA from 1 species
UCCCUAGUGGCUCAGUUGGUAAAGAAUCUGCCUGCAAUGCAGGAGAUCCGGGUUUGAUUCCUGGGUUGGGAA